rnacentral:tRNA from 1 species
CUAGUAGCUCAGUUGGUUAGAGCGCACGCUUGAUAAGCGUGAGGUCGGAGGUUCAAGUCCUCCCUGGCC